UACGAAGGGGGGCAAGCGUUGUUCGGAAUUACUGGGCGUAAAGGGCGCGUAGGCGGCUUAUCAAGUCAGGCGUGAAAUUCCCGGGCUCAACCUGGGGGCUGCGCUUGAUACUGAUGAGCUUGAAUGCGGGAGAGGAUAGUGGAAUUCCCAGUGUAGAGGUGAAAUUCGUAGAUAUUGGGAAGAACAUCGGUGGCGAAGGCGCUCUGCUGGACCAUAACUGACACUCAGGGACGAAAGCUAGGGGAGCGAAUGGG
rnacentral:rRNA from 1 species